rnacentral:rRNA from 1 species
UACGGAGGGUGCAAACGUUGCUCGGAAUCAUUGGGCGUAAAGCGCACGUAGGCGGCCCGGUAAGUCGGAUGUGAAAGCCCUCGGCUCAACUGAGGAAGUGCAUUCGAAACUGCCAGGCUUGAAUAUGGAAGAGGGUCGCGGAAUUCCCGGUGUAGAGGUGAAAUUCGUAGAUAUCUGGAGGAAUACCGGUGGCGAAGGCGGCGUUCUGGACCAUUACUGACACUGAAUCGCGAAAGCUAGGGGAGCAAACGGG